UGCACAGCUGCAAACGCGAUCCCACGCCCGGGAAAGCUCCAGCUCCGCGACGCCCCCCGCUGCCCCGCGGACCCGUGCUUCGGGGGUUGAGCAGCCUCAGCACUGUGAACUGAAUAAUUAACUAGGUUCAGCUAUGUCUCCGCAAGUCACCUGGGAAGAAUGUGCACAGAGAUGUCAAAAACCAUUUGUGAAAGUGGAUAUGUGAAGGCCGGGCGCCGGUGGCUCACACCUGUAAUCCUAGCUACUCAGGAAGC